GCUCAGAAUGGGGAUGAGGACACGUGGCUUAGCUGGAGAUGACACGUUAGCGAUGGCAGAUACUCAACAGCUGGGCAACUUACAUAUCAUAACACCCACACUUCUUUAUUAUUCUACUACCCCAUUCCAUCGCUGGAUGGUAGUGAUGGUAAUUUCUCAUGCCAAGAAUAUCGGGACAGUAGAGCAAAGAAGAAUCUCUGUGGCCUAAAUAACAUCCACAGGCACCAAAUAAAAGGGGCCUGUACAGGUUCUUAGAGUGUCUGGGAUUGUGUAAUAGCUGACUGAUGCUGUCUUAGAGAGACAGUAAGAAAAAUGUGUCAUGAAUCUUAAAGAGACGCAAAGAACUCUCUACUCACAGGACAGCAGGCGGAUUCUGCUCUUUGGCCUCCAGGAAGAAACACCUGCUCCAGGAGGCAAAUUUAUGCUGCUCUGGUCGAACUUGGGUCCAGGGGGUUUUAUUGCAUCUGUACCGUUUUUGAGAUAACCCAACUCUGCAGCUGUCCCAGUUAUGCUCCAUCCUCUGCUGAUUUGCAUGUUCCCCAGGCACAGCCCACUUCCCUGAACACUGAUUGAUAGGCUGGUCACACCCUGUGCGGGACUCAGGCCCAGUCAGGACACAGAAUGGACAUGAAGGCUCCCGCUCAGCUCCUUGGCCUCCUGUUGCUCUGGCUCCCAGGAGCCAGCUGUGAUAUCCAGAUGACCCAGUCUCUAUCCUCGCUGUCUGCAUCUCCCGGAGACACAGUCACCAUCACUUGCAAGGCGAGUCAGAACGUGAACACGUGGGUGGACUGGUAUCAGCAGAAACCAGGGAAAGUUCCUAAGCUUCUGAUCUAUCAUGCAUCCACAUUGCAAACUGGGGUCCCCUCAUGGUUCAGGGGCAAUGGGUCUGGGACAGAUUUCACCCUCACCAUCAGCAGCCUGGAGCCUGACGACGCUGCAACUUACCACUGCCAGCACUAUAAUAACUACCCACACACAGUGUUACAGACCAGCACAUAAACCACCAGGGAAGCGGUUGGGCUCCUCCUGCUGGCCCUCUUGUGCCUGCAUCUGUUCAGAAAGUGUCAGAUGCAGCCCUGCUCUGGAGGUCACUGGGAGGUGUGGGAGGAGGGAAGGGAGG